UGUCUCUGACCUUGAUUGCAACACCAAGUCACUGUGGUGUCAUAACGUUAACCAAGGUGGAAUUUCAACAUACAGCCAGAAUCUCCUUGCAAAACCUGCCCAAGGAAGUACGGACAAAUGUCUGCUCAGUGGGGGAGCUACCAGCCCAGCUCUGCCAGUAGUGGGCCAGUCUCCAGCCUCUUCAGUUCUACCCAGGCUGCCAGUUCUUCAACAUUCAUCCAGAAUGCUCCUGCCACAGCCCAGAAGCCAAGUGGCUUUAAACCUGUCCCCAGUCAACGCUAUCAGCCCAGCUAUUUGUUCAAUGCAGUGAAGUCCAACACUAGCUCUGCCAGACGUCCCACCCAGAGCCUCUUGUCUAGCAGCUAUGGCCCUACCCAGAGCAGGACCAGCAGUGCCAGCUCGAUCAACCUCGCCGCUUUGCCCUGACCAUCAUGCACAGCAUCCCAGAAUUGUACGGCGGAUCUACAAUCCACCGGCUCAAAGACCCUACUCGGUAGGAGUAGUGCCUCCCCUAGCCACUCAACCCAGCUCUUCAAGUGUCAGCAAGCCACAGCCAAACCACUAUCUGCCAAGCAGAAAGGCCCUAGCACAACCUAAAUUGAGUCCAGAGCUUUAGGGGAGUCCAGAACAUGAUGAAGUGGGAUCUGUAGCCACCAGUUGAGGUGCUGUGACCUGGAAGUGUUGUCAGGACUUCUCUACUUCAAUUGUUUUAAAUAAAAUUUACUAAUACAUA